rnacentral:rRNA from 1 species
AUACGGAGGAUCCGAGCGUUAUCCGGAUUUAUUGGGUUUAAAGGGUGCGCAGGCGGCCAUUUAAGUCAGCGGUUAAAUCGUGGGGCUCAACCCCAUUCUGCCGUUGAUACUGGGUGGCUUGAUUGCGGUCGAGGUUGGCGGAAUUCGUUGUGUAGCGGUGAAAUGCAUAGAUAUGACGAAGAACACCGAUUGCGUAGGCAGCUGACCAGACCGCAAAUGACGCUCAUGGACGAAAGUGCGGGGAUCGAACAGGAUUAGAUACCCUGGUAGUCCGCACAGUAAACGAUGAAUACUUGUUUUCGGCGAUAUAAUGUCGGAGGCAAAGCGAAAGCGAUAAGUAUUCCACCUGGGGAGUACGCCGGCAACGGUGAAACUCAAAUGAAUUGACGGGG